UCCUUGUGCACUAUCGAGAAACUCAGGAGGGUUCUCCAGUCACACCUAUGAAUUCAAAUUCUAGUUCAGUCUCUGACCAGUCACCUUGGCUUUUAUCAGAAGAAUUUGAUUCUGGAGCUGGUCAUGCAUAUUAUGCUGGCGUGAAAGAACCUCUAGAGCCUGGUGACAGUUCAACUGUCAGAGAUCAUGAAAUGAGGCUUCAUGAGAUUAAUACACUUGAAUGGGAUGAGCUUGUGAUGAAUGAUCUUAACAUUUCACCCAUGCCUAAAGGAGAUAAGAGUAUGAGCUUUGACCAGCAUAAUCAAAUUGCAGUGAAUGGGUCCAUGAAUGAUGGUAUUUCUCUUCCAGCCUACAAUUUAUCUGCAGAAAUUCCUCCUUUAGAUAACUUAACUGAACCUAUUGCAAGGAACAACAAUUCUUGCUUAAAUAUUCCAGAGGAUGCUUACACUAAGCCAACAAGAGUCCAAGGAAAUGUGCAGAAGAAGGAUUCUAGUAUCCUAGGGACUGGUGAUUCUUCAGACUUGCUGGUUAAUGAUGGUCUGCAAAGUCAAGAUAGUUUUGGAAGGUGGAUAAACGACAUAAUAGCCGACUCUGCAGGUUCUGUAGAUAAUGCUGUGCCUGAUUCUUCUAUUUCAUCUGGUCAUGAUUCACAUACUUCUCCAGCAAUUGAUCAACUUCAAUCUUCUAUUCCUGAACAAAUAUUUGUCAUCACUGAUAUCUCCCACACAUGGGCCUUUUCAAGUGAAACGACAAAGAUUUUAGUUACUGGAUAUUUCCAUGAACAAUAUCUACAUCUGGCAAAAUUUGACCUGUGUUGUGUGUGUGGAGAUGCUUGUGUUCAUGCAGAAAUUGUUCAGGUUGGAGUGUAUCGCUGUUUGGUAUCACCACAUUCCCCUGGAUUAGUAAAUCUGUUUUUAAGUUUGGAUGGCCAUAAACCCAUAAGCCAAGUUUUAAAUUUUGAGUACCGC
rnacentral:misc_RNA from 1 species